rnacentral:lncRNA from 1 species
GCUUAUUAAGAACAGAGCAGAAGCUUAUAACAGUUCAUAAGAGAAGAAACUUUGAACUUCUGGUUAAGUAAAGCUUGGACAGUAAUGAGGGCUGAAGAAUCAGAGAAUGCCAACACAAAGUCUGCGUACCCAGUUCUUUGCAGUGUAUUUAUUUGUUGCUGAUAUUCAUGUGCAGUAAAAUACCUUCAUAUCACUGCUGCCUAGUAAUUGUUCUUUGGGAAUAUAUUAAUCAUAAUGACUUUAACUGAACCAUUUAAAGGGGUGACUGCUACAGCAUAUUGUUAAGGAUCUGCAUUAUGGUUGGAUGCUGUGAGUUUUAUGGCCCAUCUCUCACUCACUGCUGGAAAGCUGUCAGUUCCCAUGCUGAACAUAAUUAUUCACUGUCUAAGAAAAGAAGGUGUUGGUCCCUGGCCGAAGGAAUGCACAAUCACACAUAAAGAUUUAUGGAAUAUCAUGGAGAGUCAAACAGGUUGAUUGUAGCGAGUGUCUUCGCCAGGUUUUUCGUCAACUACUUGUCUUGCCGAUCUGUGAAUGGUCGCCUGAGUCACCGGAUCUUGUUUCUACUCUGACUGAACGACUGUCAAGGAAGAAACGCAAAUAAAGGGUAAGAAAAUAAUGAAUACA